GACGAACGCUGGCGGCGUGCUUAACACAUGCAAGUCGAACGGAAAGGCCCUGCUUGCAGGGUACUCGAGUGGCGAACGGGUGAGUAACACGUGGGUGAUCUGCCCUGCACUUCGGGAUAAGCCUGGGAAACUGGGUCUAAUACCGGAUAGGAGCCAUUUUUAGUGUGAUGGUUGGAAAGUUUUUUCGGUGUAGGAUGAGCUCGCGGCCUAUCAGCUUGUUGGUGGGGUAAUGGCCUACCAAGGCGGCGACGGGUAGCCGGCCUGAGAGGGUGGACGGCCACAUUGGGACUGCGAUACGGCCCAGACUCCUACGGGAGGCAGCAGUGGGGAAUAUUGCCCAAUGGGCGCGAGCCUGAUGCAGCGACGCCGCGUGGGGGAUGACGGCCUUCGGGUUGUAAACUCCUUUCGCUAGGGACGAAGCUUUUUGUGACGGUACCUAGAUAAGAAGCACCGGCUAACUACGUG
rnacentral:rRNA from 1 species